rnacentral:rRNA from 1 species
AGUGAACGCUGGCGGUAGGCCUAACACAUGCAAGUCGAACGGCAGCACAGUAAGCGCUUGCUCUUACGGGUGGCGAGUGGCGGACGGGUGAGGAAUACAUCGGAAUCUACUUUUUCGUGGGGGAUAACGUAGGGAAACUUACGCUAAUACCGCAUACGAUCUACGGGUGAAAGCAGGGGAUCUUCGGACCUUGCGCGAUUGAAUGAGCCGAUGUCGGAUUAGCUAGUUGGCGGGGUAAAGGCCCACCAAGGCGACGAUCCGUAGCUGGUCUGAGAGGAUGAUCAGCCACACUGGAACUGAGACACGGUCCAGACUCCUACGGGAGGCAGCAGUGGGGAAUAUUGGGCAAUGGGCGAAAGCCUGAUCCAGCCAUACCGCGUGAGUGAAGAAGGCCUUCGGGUUGUAAAACCCUUUUGUUGGGAAAGAAAAGCAGCAGGUUAAUACCCCGCUGUUCUGACGGUACCCAAAGAAUAAGCACCGGCUAACUUCGUG